CCCUUAGAUGUUCUGGGCCGCACGCGCGCUACACUGAUGCACUCAACGAGUCUCCACCUUGACCGAAAGGUCCGGGAAAUCUUCGAACUUGCAUCGUGAUGGGGAUAGAUUAUUGCAACUAUUAAUCUUCAACGAGGAAUACCUAGUAGGCGCAAGUCAUCAGCUUGCAUUGAUUACGUCCCUGCCCUUUGUACACACCGCCCGUCGCACCUACCGAUUGAAUGGUCCGGUGAAAUCUCGGGACGGCGGCUUGGUCGCUUGCGUCCGACUGCUGAAACUUGAUUAAACCAUAUCAUUUAGAGGAAGGUGAAGUCGUANCA
rnacentral:rRNA from 1 species